CAUGAAUGUGCAAAAGGUCAUCUCCUAAAAGGUUUGACCGUAUCCAAAUACAAAGUCUAGCUUUUCCCUUCCACCAUUUGUACCAAUUAUAUGCAUAUCAUCCUUUGCAAGAACACCCAUAGAUGAGUUAUUGUUGGCAUAUUCAAUCUCAUAGUCACGGUGCUUGCAAGUUCCAUAGUAGUUUUGAUCGCCUUGUAGCUCUUGACAUGGCAAAUCCCUGGGAGGGGCUGUCUUUUCUUUUGCUGGCUUAAAAGAUGAGGUCCCUGCAAUUGCAGUACAUAUUUGUUAGGAGCAGUUGAAUAAACUUGGAUAAAUAGCGAGACUAAUCACAAACUGAUAUACUCAAACAUCCAGAUUUGUUAAAUUGCUUACUUUGGCACUGUUUGUGCAUGAUGUGUCGCGAUGAAUCCAUGUCAAAUCGCUUCCAAUAUCGACAUCAAGGAAAUAAGGUCUUGGUGGGCUACCAUGAAUGAUUGAUGUGUAUGGCUGUCUUCAAUUGGGGUAUGAUAAUAUAUCAUACUAGUCUCAACAGGCAAGCAGGACUACGUAUUUUUGAGGAAAGAAAAUGGUUUCAACAGGAUUUGAUUUUCUUUUGGGAAAUACAACUCAGUUAUACAAGACUCAAGGUGUUGCAACGGUAAUUAUACCAAGAGAAGAAGAAAUAUCAAGUAUUGAUGAUGACUUGGACUACUUUGACUGCCUUGUGACAUUCAAUACAAAAAAUAUACCCGUGGAGUGUUCUGUUAUUUCUUUUGAGCCAGAUGAAGAUGUUGAUGUGGAGUCAAUGUUUGGUGUUCUUAACGUAGUGGCGAGCCCUUACGUUGUAAGAUCUUUGGCCUAUGGUACAGGGCUAGGAAAGUUCAGCGAACGCCCUUUCUUGGUCGUUCCUCGAUUUACAUCUACAUUUGCUCCAUAUAUCGGUAAGAAUUGGCGGAUGGCAGCGAAUACUAUUGAUAAGCAGAGGUUUACCGAGGAAUUUAUUGCAAUUUUCAGGGAUGUAGUUUAUGGUAUUCUCACACUCCAUGAACAAGGGUUAUAUUGUCCUGAAUUGAAAGCAAAACAUAUACUUAUCUUCAGUGCUGACACUACAAAGACUGCACAAAUAUGGAAGUUUUCCUAUGCAGGGGAUGAUGUUGAUAAAUAGACUGACUGGAGAAGGCUUGGUUCUUUAAUCAAAAAUGCAAUGAUUAAUCAUCUUACAGCCACAGAGGAAAUCAACGACCUCUGCAAUAGGCUAGUGAAUGGAACCUUGCAGGGGCUGGAGAUAUUAAAACACAGUGCUUUAUUGACUGUGCAACAAAAAUUUGAGAAUAUACUUGCACUAAAUUUGUAUAUUUUAGUGCAAUCAAAAGAUGAUUUCGAAUAUGCUAGUCAAGCUUCAGGAAAAAGUGAAGCUGUAGCUGCUCUCAAGAAAUUUAUUAAUGCAAAUCACUCAUGGAGGAGCAAGAUACCAGACUCGAUUAAAGAGACAAGUGGCUACCAAUCAAAGCCCAAUGAUACAGGUCGAACUUUCGUGGAUUGGUUGCGAGAUAGAGUUGAGCACGAGCUCUCUUUUAUUCGUAAACAGGAUCAGCAGAAGAAAUCUAUAGAACUUAUUCAAAAGUUUGGCAAGGACCCUGACUUGGAGUGUAAAGUUCGCAUGACUUGGGAUUAUUUUUAAAAGUUCAGAAUCUGGUUAACGACCUUGGUAUACGCUACUGACAGGUGGGGAGCGUUAAAAUGGUCGACCUCUUCUGUACGCACCUCGACUCCUUGCCAUACUUUCCCAUAGCCAGUCGCUGAUUCAAAGCCCAUCCCGAGUGAGUGCUAGCUGCUAGGGUUCCAGGUGUUUUAGUGUAGCGCAUCCUCCUCCACUCGCUGCCUUCCCUGCCCAUUGGCGGAUGACGUUCGGAUUUAACUUAUGCCAUCAUGACUGCAUCGGCAGU